UGCGACAUUUUGUAUCUUGUCGCAUAUACCAGGAUAACAUAUUUGAACCAGCAUAGGUUCGAAAUUGAAAGGCGGCUUCGGCUGUCACUUAUGGAUGGACCCGCGUCGCAUUAGCUAGUUGGUGAGGUAACGGCUCACCAAGGCAACGAUGCGUAGCCGACCUGAGAGGGUGAUCGGCCACACUGGGACUGAGACACGGCCCAGACUCCUACGGGAGGCAGCAGUAGGGAAUCUUCCGCAAUGGACGAAAGUCUGACGGAGCAACGCCGCGUGAGUGAUGAAGGCUUUCGGGUCGUAAAACUCUGUUGUUAGGGAAGAACAAGUGCUAGUUGAAUAAGCUGGCACCUUGACGGUACCUAACCAGAAAGCCACGGCUAACUACGUGCCAGCAGCCGCGGUAAUACGUAGGUGGCAAGCGUUAUCCGGAAUUAUUGGGCGUAAAGCGCGCGCAGGUGGUUUCUUAAGUCUGAUGUGAAAGCCCACGGCUCAACCGUGGAGGGUCAUUGGAAACUGGGAGACUUGAGUGCAGAAAAGGAAAGUGGAAUUCCAUGUGUAGCGGUGAAAUGCGUACAGAUAUGGAGGAACACCACUGGCGAAAGCGACUUUCUGGUCUGUAACUGACACUGAGGCGCGCAAGCGUGGGGAGCAC
rnacentral:rRNA from 1 species